UCAAAUGCGAUGAAGGAAAAAAGUAAAUACAGUGUGGCUGAAGAGAGCCUGUGGUUGCUGUAAACAGGUGCCGGCUGUAUUGAAGUCCGUUCUGGAGCAUUUGUGCUGAAUCCAGUAGGCACAAACGGGGGGUCCGUUAUACUAUUAAGAGGGCUCAACUAAAAGUUGAGUCAAGUAGGGUGGCAACGCGGGAAGAUCUCGUCCCUUAU
rnacentral:ncRNA from 1 species